rnacentral:rRNA from 1 species
ACGAGAGGACCGGGAUGGACGUACCUCUGGUGUACCAGUUGUUCUGCCAAGGGCAUGGCUGGGUAGCUAUGUACGGAAUGGAUAAGCGCUGAAAGCAUCUAAGCGCGAAGCCAACUUCAAGAUAAGAUGUCCCACCGCAAGGGUAAGACCCCAGAAAGACUAUCUGGUUGAUAGGUCGAAGGUGUAAGUGCAGCAAUGUAUUUAGCUUAUCGAUACUAAUAGGUCGAGGACUUGACCAAAUU